CUGGAGGCGCCUGUCACAUGAGCCGCGCGCCCGCUCCGCUCCCCCUCCUCCCUGACUGGGCUGUGUGAAUGAAGCUCUGCCGGCUACGUGGGGCGCUAGCUCAACUUAGUGUACUGGACGCCGGAGCCGCCUGAGCGCGCUGCCCACCGGCAGCGGACACAGACUCCGCAGCUCCUAACCUCGGCGACAGAGCAAAUCAGUUGCCCGGAGUUCCGAGUGAAGUUGUACGUGUGCCCAUGCGAUAACGUCAGUGGAAACUGCCCCCCCCCCAUAAAUGAGGGAAAUACAGAAGUUGGAG
rnacentral:lncRNA from 1 species